GUUACUAUGGUUGCCACUAGCUACAAGGGGCUAUUAAGCACUUGAUGUUGGCUAAUUCAACAAAGAAAUGAAUUCUUACAUUUAUUUAAUUGUAAUUCAUUGAAAGUUAAAGAGCCAAAUGUGGCUGGUGGCUUCCACAGUGGACAGCAUAGCCCUUGAACCUAUCAAAGAUGGAUACUUCCAAGGAUGAAGACUGAAUUGCAGCAUUUUGCGUUCUCAAGUCUUGAAAAACAAAAAAAGAAUUUAUAGAACUGAACAACUACAGAGAUUCAACUAUGAAAUGUAUUCACUUACCAGUGAAUAAACAAUUCCUUUCAACUAGAACUACAGCAAAAGAGAACUGAGAGCCUGUUGAUGAGCAAUGCCAACAUGUUUUGCCAAAGCGUGAUUUUGAUAUUCAAACCCACACACUGCUACGUGAUUCCAUUUAGCGAAUACUUCCUAAGACACUGGUGGGCCUCUCUAGGGCAGGCGUGCGACCUGCUCCAAGUCAUCUAAGUCACUCUGGUAGAAAGAGGCCAGGGCAGGCAGUGCCCACAGCUCGUAAUCAACGCUUCGUCUCUGAACUACAGCAGUUACAGAGAGCAUCACAGGACCCUGAGCAGGCAGCCAGACUCAACUAAGGCAAUAUCAUCAAUUACCUCAAAAAAUUGGCUCAGAUCAAUCACAAUGGAAUCGGCUGAGUUGGAAGAUUCAUUGUCUUUUGUUCAGUAUUUAAAGAGAUCAACAAAGAGGUACCUCCUGCACACCCCUAUAUCCCUGAAACAUCACUCAAGGAGGAGAUUCUAGACAAGGAAGGAACACCAUGCACACCUGACUGCUGUGAGCAUUCAGAAUAACACCAAAAACCAGACAAGAGAGACAGUAACAAGCAAAACUGUAAAAAAGGAAUGGUCAGCAUGGUCAAGGGAGACCGUCACAAGUGAUGCUCUACCCAGCCUGAGAGCACAUUAGCGGGAACACUCACCAAGUGAGUAUCAGAAACACAGGAUGGAACUGACAUCAGAAAAGACAGAAACUCCAGGCACAUGCCUCCCAGGCCAGAAGAGCUAUUCUCAGUGCUGAGAGAUAAGGAAACAGACUCAAGGUCACAGGACUGGUGAGCGGCAGAGCCAGGUUUCUAACUCGAGAGGCUUUCCCAAAACUCCUUUGGGUUUCCUCAUACAGCUGCCCAAGGUAUGCACUACGAAAUGCCAUGACUAAGUGGGCACCAUUCACACCGCAGACAAUGUCAAUCUGUAAUCGUGGUACAAUUUUGUGGCCAGUGACAAUAAGUAUCUCAUUUUAAUAAAAUGCCACACAGAGAGGAAAUGAAGUGUUUGGUGGAAGGCAUGCCUUUUCUAACUGGUGCAAAAGUGUCAUAUUGGCCAGCGACAGCCCUGACUACAGGUUUAUCCAAUUCAGAAGAUGGAGGUGUAAAACUGGGCCAGGGAACACAGAGGAAGUUUAGGUUGCUGGAGUUCUCACUGAACCUCAGCUCUCUGAGGCGUGCAUUCCAAGUCCAUCAACCAACACCAAAUCAAUAGUUCAAAUCAUCACCAGAUUUCCGGACGGGCCAAAAGUAGCCAUAGUAUUCAAAGGCCUAGAGCAGGAAGAAGAACUCACUUUAAAUGUUCACACUAAAGGUCAAAAUCCAUUAAAGGCCACUUUUGCAGCUGGGUCUGUCUACUUUAUGUCAAAAUCAAAAUGCAAGAAUCUAGUAACCCAUUUUCUGGAUUUCUACAUAAUUUCUACAGCCUCCCUCUGUUUUCAAGGCCAGUCAUACAAGGCAGCCUUCAGAGGCUGAUCCAACUGCAGCAGAGGGGCCGGGCAGGACUUAGAGUUGCAGAGAACACCUGAAACACUGAGAAACAAAAUACUGACAAACUCCAUUUGCAGAAAGAAAAUAACUCUAGGAAAAAAAACGGUUCCAUUUAUUAUGGCAUGUAUUUUUUAAUUAAAGAAGGUGCCCCCACAAAAUAUGCCAUCAGCUCUUCCACUGUAGCUGGGGUAUGCACCCCCCCAUCCUAAUUAGAAAACAAAGCACACCUUCAGGCACCUGGUGAUUUUUCUAUGCAAUGGCAUAGUAGAAUGUUCAAUAGGGAUUGUUUUAAUAGGGCUGGUAAUGAGAUCUGGGUGAAAAAUCUCUCUGUUAAUUUAGCAGGCCUCCUGAGAUGUAAAAAUUCUAGUUUGCAGGUGUUUUGAAGUUCCUCGCAAAGCCUAACCUCAGCCUGCCCCCUAGUUUUGACAUUAGGAUUUAAAUAUCACCUGUAAAUCUCUUAGUCAUUUUGUCCCCAUCAAAAAUCACUUCUAGUCUCUUCUUGCCCCUCCACUAGUGUGAGUCUAUUUUGAUUUGCCCAGUACUAACUAAAAUGCUACUAAAUCUGGCACUAUACUAAUCUAUGAAUUUUGAAAGCCAGCCUCUACAGAGUGCAAACCCUAAGAUCAUCCAAUCAAAGGCAAGGCGACCUCAAUGGCCAGGAUCAACUCAAGCAGCUGCUGUCGUUCUGUGACCUUCCUGUUUUACGAACACAUCAGUCCCUGUAAGCAUACUUAGAUAAAUGACUUGCAAAUUAAAAGAAACAUUUUUAUGAUUCACUGCAAUAGCUUGCUUUUUGGGAUACAAGGUUAAAAGUGAACAGUAAACCUUUUAAGGUUAUUGAAACUAAAUUAUUAACGCUGGGUUUCACCUUCCUUUUGUCCUCUUUAUGGCAUUCUUCCUAAUUACUCACUGCAACUCCACUCCUACAAGUUGUAAAUCAAAUGAAAAAUCUUUAAAGCACAAAAACACCUGAUUAAAACAUUCAACCACAAGGGAAUUACAGAGACGAUGGGGAGUGACAUCCUGCAUUUUUUAAAAACAUGAAGCUUCUGAUAGCUUAUGAAAAAGAACGUUGUGAAAAUUGUGCACUUUCAUCUCCGGAAGUAACCAAAAGAACAGUCCAACGUUUGAAAUCUAUUUGUAACCUUCAAAAUAAUGAGCACUUUUCUCUACUUGGAUCGCACCUGGUGCCUCACACCCAGAGUGCAUUUUACCUGUGCGAUUUUGUACUCAAACAUGAGCUGUUUCAAAGGGGGCUGGUGACUCUUGGUGGAGAAUGGAGUUUUCCUUCAGCCCUCUGAAUAGCGGGUGACUGACAAAGCUCCGAAACCAGAAUAUGGAACCCGAAAUGUAAUGGAGGAAUGCCUAAUUCUGCCUUACCUAGUUGGGGCCUCCAUUUCCUAAACUGUGAAAUGGGCUGAUGGCACCUUCUGCUUAGGUCCUAGUUGGGAAGAUUAUGUGAACUUCUCAGCACAUAGUUCGUUUAACAACAUAUUCACAGAGGGGACUAAUGUGCUACACAUUUUAUAAAAGCCUGUUCUAUGAAUCCCCAAACAGUUUGAAUUACUUAACCGGAUUCUGACUAA